rnacentral:lncRNA from 1 species
UACCUUCUAAAGGCAACAAGCAAGGAGUGGGAGACAAUGUGUCUUUUUUUUUUUAAAGCCUUUUAUUAAGAAAAAGAAAAUAGGUAACUUAUUUGCAAAAAAAAAAAAAAAAAAUAGUAGGGGGGGUCCAGAUCUCAAUAGUUUUUGUUAUGCACAGCCGGGGUCUCCUGGGCCCUUUAGGCUCCCCAAGGCUGUUAGGUGAGGAUCUGGCUUUCCAGCACCAAAAAAAUCACUGGGCUAGCCUAACCACAUCAGCAGAGCCACUUCUGAGUGGACUCGGCUUUCACCCGAACUUGUGCCCUGCCCCAAUAUACUGUAAAUAGCUGGAGCAGGCGCGAUGCCUGGAGACCUUCCCAGGAGCUCUCACCUCUCUAUUUGGCCACUUCUGUGCCCUCAAGCCCACCAUAAAGCCUCUCUCUGGACCAGCUGUCGCCCCCAAUACCACCAAGGUCCCUUUUUGCUUUGGUCCAGGACAGUAUGUUGUCUAAGAAGCCACGGCAUCCUGCAAAACCUUGGCUCAGCCCUCCACUCUUCAAGAUGAGACCCUGAGGGAUCCUGUUGAAGGCAUAGCAAUCACAAGCUCCCCUCAAUGGAACCCCUGAAUGCUCUCAACACCCUCCCCAGGCUAUGCAGAUGGCAGAAGCAGAGCCUGGCUAGACUCUGGCAGCUGCUUGGCCACCCUGGACCCGUUUAACCUGAGCUCCUGCCUGGUCCCAUGAACUGCUAUGGAUGUCAGGACCUACCAAGUGGCCGGUGAGAUUAUCUUGCUCUGUGCCCAUGUGACCACAGAUGCUCUGGUCUGGACCCAUGUUUCUGUUGCUCUCUGGAGCUGGCAGGGCACUUUACCAUGGCAGCUUGACAGCUUGACACAGGGCAAACUGGGCAGGGUGAUCACUUCAGUAGGGCAGCAAAUAGGCUGUGUGCAAGGACCUACAGGAGAUGGCAAAGCUGCCCCUUUUCACUGGAGGGGAAAACAGACCUAGGACAUCCACAUGUCUGGGCCCAAGAGAGCCCUGGGAUGGGGCAGAAAGGCAGGCACUGACCGGGCAUCUUGCACCGAGUCUUCCUGGCUUAUCCCAUGCUCUAAUACACUCCCCGAGGAAGGGGCUGAGGAAUGCUGAUAGCUUGGGAGGCCUUAGUAUCGGAGUCUUCUUAGGGAGACAACAGAAGUCCCAGCACUGAUGAAAAAUAAGUUUCUUCCAUAUCUCUAACCCAUAUCUACUACUGGGGGCUAGGAGGGUUUCAAAAGGGCUGGGGGUGCCCGGGAGAUUGCAUGCUCCCUAGCCAGAAGUCUCUAAUUCAUAGCUCCCCUUGGCUUCUUUACCCCAUGGCUAGAUCCCCCCUUUCCAGACUGCUUUGGCCUCAAAGACACACCUGAGUGAACUCACGGGUACCCAACUUGUGGGUGUGACCCAUUGGAUGUCAGGGUUCUUUCCCAAACCAAACCCAUUCCCACCUCUAAACUCCUGGACUUGAGCUGGGCUGCAAGCUUAGCUGUGUCUACUCUCACUCCUCAGACAGCUGUUCUAGGAGGGGGGAUGAAUAGGGGCCUCUGUAGCUUCCUGGGAGUCCCCCUGCCUACAGCCAGCCAGGGCAGCAGAGCUCAUGAAAGGGUUGGGAGGGCUGUCCUAUGCAAAUUGCUCGAAUCGGCAAACAAUUCGGGUGGUGCUGAGCUUGGCAUGGCCACUGGUGUGUCGUGGGUUAGGGCUGGGGAAUUGAGAAUAGUUUUCUGGGUUUGAUUUUAGAAAACCCAAGAAGGUUCUUGGAAGUGUGCAUAUGUUUGGUAGGCAUGGUAGCCAAGAACUCUCCUGAAGUCCCAAGGCUUUCUUAAAAAGCCUGGGAUGAGAGGUACCAAAUCCAUCAGUUACCUGGAGGCAUGGCUCACCUGCCUCCAUCUCCUCCUCCCCACUCCCAAGGCCUCUGUCACUGCCAGGCCCCUGCAGGAACAUCCACGGGGUUUCCUAAAAGCUGAACAGCUUGUCCCUUUCACCCUGCACCCCAGCAGCCCCUAGGGCUGGAGGAAAAUAGGGUCUUACACAUCCCCAGACCCAUCUUGGAACUCUGUUCCCAGGCCAACAAGUUAGCAUUAGCCAAGCAUACAGUCAGUGUCAAAUGUUUCUCUUCUGUAGCUCGUAGAUACAACGCGUCUGUGGUCAGGGCCCAGCCAAGCUAGGCCAGUGGCCAGCUCUGUGCAGUACAAGGCUGUGGUUUGGCUCCUUUAAGGAGAAACGUACAUGGCUUGGAAGAACACCUGGCCAUGGUCAGCCUUGGUCACACCUGACUCCCGGCCAGUGGCUUCUCUCUCUCAUGUCUUUCAGCAAAUCCAUAAUGCUGGGUCUCCUGCCACCAAAGUGUCAGAGUAAUGGCCAAAAGUCAGGCCCUCAGAGAUGCCUCAGUUUCCCCAUAGUGAGUAUGUGGUCUGUUGAGAUGACACCUCUGUGCUCUCUAAGGUAAACGGGAGGGGAAGUCUCUAUUUCUACCCACACUGAAAGGCAAAACCAAAAACUCACAGCAGAAUCACCCAGCACAGAGCACCAGGUGUGGUAGUACAUAGACCACAUACCUAGCAGGCUCUGCCACACCAGUCGGCUGGUGGAAACCACCUCCGUAUACACCGGGGACGCAUCUUGCUUUUCCUUCCUCUCCUGUUCUCCAUUCUGAUUUAUUUUCUGCAUGUUUAUUUUUGAAAAUGGACAAAUGUGCAGCAGCCCGCAUGACCGUGGUUGUUUCGGGAAAGAUACCGGAGUCUGACGUGUUCACACUGCAGCUCUGAGCGCCAUGCGGUGAGACAGACGUUCCGACUUUUUUUGUAAUCGUCAACAGCACAAAUAUUUUGUAUUGUCGUUUGUAUCAUUUUGUACCUAAAAAAAAAGGAAAAAAAAAAACAAAACAAAAACAAAACAAAAACAAAAAGGGAAGAGAGUUGAUGUUUUCAAUGUGUUUUUAGUGCCAGGCAGUCUUGGUUCCGAAGGGAACAGCAGCUUUGCGGAAUUGUCGUGUCCAGGAGUGGAGUCAGGCGUUAGCACGCUGCUCCAAAGGAGUAAAUAAAGUCCCCUUUGAAGU